GGAAUACAUACGCCUGAAAACAAGGACAAUUAUCAGAACGUGUACAAAUACCGACCAUGCAGGUGAAAUUUUUGUUACGGUUGUUUGGGAUUUUUAUUUGCAGUGUUAACAUUGCUAAAGGGAGUUCCUACGCUGAUGAGGUUAAAACCUUGUUAAGGAAACAUUUCAACAACGAAAACAAUAUAUGUUGGAGCACAGCUACGUUAAUGGCAAACCAAAAUAAAGGUGACAAAAAUAAGAGCAUGGCAAUAACUCUGAUCAACGUGUACACACAAGAGUGCCACGAAUACAACGAUAACACCAACGGUUGGCCGUUUUUUUAGAGCACUGAAUACAAAACUUCGAGAAAAAACUGGUGAAAACAUUUGGCUAGACACAGAAAGCUUGCUAAAUCAGGGAUUGGAAAUGAUAGGCAUUGAAACAUGGGAUCUGCUUUACAGGUCUUGUUUCUGUAACAAUAUCAAAAAGGGAUCCACAAUUAUAGUUGAUGACUUCUGGAGUACAUCAUUGGAGGCACGCGCGUCAAACAAUUUUCUAAAUAAAAACAAAAUAUUUUUCCAGAUUAUUGAUGCUCGACGCGGGGCAAAUAUUCGCAAGUAUUCAACAUACAGCGGGGAAAAAGAAAUUCUACUACAAUCGAAAAGUGAAUUCUAUGUUACAGAAUAUUUCACGGAUGCAACUGGCAUAAAAAACAAGAAAGAAGCUGUAAAUGAGUCGGAUUGUUUGGAACGACAUGAAAGCGUUUGCAGUCGUGACAAGCAAUAUUCCUACACGAGCUAUUAGGUCGGUUUCCAACUAUUGCGAUUGCUCGGCUGGCACGACAUCUGAUGCUUCUAUGCCUGCAAGACGUUCAAGUGCCUUGUUUGUCAUUGUCUUUAUGAUAGUUCGGUACAUGCGAACAAAAUAAACUUGUAUGUGCAAAAUUCGAGUUUUAGAGCAUAACAUUUUUGAAAUGACCAAUGUCAAUUUUGUUGAACAAAAUUCAUAGAAAAACAACAACAAAUAUAUAAAUGUGUAUAUCUAGUAAUCAAAGUGCCUUUAACAAAUCUUUGCGUGUUUUAAUUGCUGUAUUUUUAUUUUCAAUUGUUGUAUUCUAUUGUCUUUGAGUUGUUUCUCCUUGUUUGUACAAUGAUACUUUUAUUAUGAGAAUAUAUGAAGACAUAGUUUUAAACCUUGCUAAGGCAAUCUAAAGCAGAUGGCUGUCUUUAAAUGACUUUAUCGUAUAAGGGCUAGCAAGCUCCUGCAUGAUUCAUUCCUUUGCAUGUAAUGUCUGUAUCGGGUCAUUGAGUACUUAAAUCUAAGGUCAUUACCAUAUUGAGUAGAUUAAGCCCCCAGUAGUGUUCCAGCAUUAUAAUGAUACAUUCAUUCGCAAUCGGUUAUAAAGACGAGGGUUGUCCGGAAAUUUUUGAGACUGCAUUCAUAAAAAAACAAACAACUCAUAGGAUGCAUUUAAAAUUUAAUCAGCUGACAGUUUUUUCUGCUAUAAACAAAUCCUAAAUGUUUCAACAAUAUACUACGAGGUAAACGUGUGCAACAAACAUAACAAAUAAUAUAGGUUACAAGUCACGGAGCACUUCGUAGUCUCAUUGCGUCACUUCAUAUAGUUUGUUUUUUCAAAAUUCGCUCUUUCUGCACGUACAGACUUAUGAUUGCUUCUGUCCUGUUUAGCUCAACAGGGUCGCCAAUUUCCAUCACUGUCCUCCGCCGGUCUUCUUGUAACAUGUCCUGCACUGAACUUAUGUCACUUUCACUCACUACUGACGGUUGGCGCUCCACUUUAAAUCGCACACAUUUUCAUGCCCGACAUAAAAAGGUCCAGGCUAGCGAAAUACCAAAACCCUUGAACAUGUUGGCUUUGAUUAAUCCAGUGUUAGAACCGUAUAAGUAUUUGUUAAGGUUAUCCCGCUGCGAGCACAAUAUUUUAUCACAGCGCACUGCUCCGUGCGUGACGUCAAUGUUAAGUUUUUUUCAGUCAUCUUUGAAAAAAAUAUGUCUACUUUUGUUGACCGUUCCAAACUUGUUUAAAGUUAGAUGACGUCAAUAAUUUGCGCAGUGGUACAGCUGACUUCAUACUUUUGGCGUCUAUUAUUCAGACUGUGUAGUAUUUAUUAAUUGUAAACAAUUUUCAGAACAAUUUUCGUGGACUGUCUAUAUACACAGCUAUAUAUUGUUUGUUGAUUUAUAUUAAUAAAGGUUUUGAAAUAUAGA